rnacentral:misc_RNA from 1 species
GAUGAAGAACGCAGCGAAAUGCGAUACGUAAUGUGAAUUGCAGAAUUCAGUGAAUCAUCGAGUCUUUGAACGCACAUUGCGCCCCCUGGUAUUCCGGGGGGCAUGCCUGUCCGAGCGCCAUUGCUGCCCUCAAGCCCGGCUUGUGUGUUGGGUCUCGUCCCCCUUCCCGGGGGGACGGGCCCGAAAGGCAGCGGCGGCACCGUGUCCGGUCCUCGAGCGUAUGGGGCUUUGUCACCCGCUCUGUAGGCCCGGCCGGCGCUUGCCGAUCAACCAAAACUUUUUUCCAGGUUGACCUCGGAUCAGGUAGGGAUACCCGCUGAACUUAAGCAUAUCAAUAAGCGGAGGA